rnacentral:rRNA from 1 species
UACGUAGGGUGCGAGCGUUAAUCGGAAUUACUGGGCGUAAAGCGUGCGCAGGCGGUUUUGUAAGCCAGAUGUGAAAUCCCCGGGCUCAACCUGGGAAUGGCAUUUGGGACUGCAAGGCUCGAGUGCGGCAGAGGAGACUGGAAUUCCUGGUGUAGCAGUGAAAUGCGUAGAUAUCAGGAGGAAUACCGAUGGCGAAGGCAAUCCCCUGGGCCUGCACUGACGCUCAUGCACGAAAGCGUGGGGAGCAAACAGG